AGAGUUUGAUCCUGGCUCAGGAUGAACGCCGACGGUGUGCCUAAUACAUGCAAGUCGUACGCACUGGCCCAACUGAUUGAUGGUGCUUGCACCUGAUUGACGUUGGAUCACCAGUGAGUGGCGGACGGGUGAGUAACACGUAGGUAACCUGCCCCGGAGCGGGGGAUAACAUUUGGAAACAGAUGCUAAUACCGCAUAACAACAAAAGCCACAUGGCUUUUGUUUGAAAGAUGGAUUUGGCUAUCACUCUGGGAUAGACCUGCGGUGCAUUAGCUAGUUGGUAAGGUAACGGCUUACCAAGGCGAUGAUGCAUAGCCGAGUUGAGAGACUGAUCGGCCACAAUGGAACUGAGACACGGUCCAUACUCCUACGGGAGGCAGCAGUAGGGAAUCUUCCACAAUGGGCGCAAGCCUGAUGGAGCAACACCGCGUGAGUGAAGAAGGGUUUCGGCUCGUAAAGCUCUGUUGUUGGAGAAGAACGUGCGUGAGAGUAACUGUUCACGCAGUGACGGUAUCCAACCAGAAAGUCACGGCUAACUACGUGCCAGCAGCCGCGGUAAUACGUAGGUGGCAAGCGUUAUCCGGAUUUAUUGGGCGUAAAGCGAGCGCAGGCGGUUGCUUAGGUCUGAUGUGAAAGCCUUCGGCUUAACCGAAGAAGUGCAUCGGAAACCGGGCGACUUGAGUGCAGAAGAGGACAGUGGAACUCCAUGUGUAGCGGUGGAAUGCGUAGAUAUAUGGAAGAACACCAGUGGCGAAGGCGGCUGUCUGGUCUGCAACUGACGCUGAGGCUCGAAAGCAUGGGUAGCGAACAGGAUUAGAUACCCUGGUAGUCCAUGCCGUAAACGAUGAGUGCUAGGUGUUGGAGGGUUUCCGCCCUUCAGUGCCGGAGCUAACGCAUUAAGCACUCCGCCUGGGGAGUACGACCGCAAGGUUGAAACUCAAAGGAAUUGACGGGGGCCCGCACAAGCGGUGGAGCAUGUGGUUUAAUUCGAAGCUACGCGAAGAACCUUACCAGGUCUUGACAUCUUGCGCUAACCUUAGAGAUAAGGCGUUCCCUUCGGGGACGCAAUGACAGGUGGUGCAUGGUCGUCGUCAGCUCGUGUCGUGAGAUGUUGGGUUAAGUCCCGCAACGAGCGCAACCCUUGUUACUAGUUGCCAGCAUUAAGUUGGGCACUCUAGUGAGACUGCCGGUGACAAACCGGAGGAAGGUGGGGACGACGUCAGAUCAUCAUGCCCCUUAUGACCUGGGCUACACACGUGCUACAAUGGACGGUACAACGAGUCGCAAGCUCGCGAGAGUAAGCUAAUCUCUUAAAGCCGUUCUCAGUUCGGACUGUAGGCUGCAACUCGCCUACACGAAGUCGGAAUCGCUAGUAAUCGCGGAUCAGCAUGCCGCGGUGAAUACGUUCCCGGGCCUUGCACACACCGCCCGUCA
rnacentral:rRNA from 1 species